rnacentral:rRNA from 1 species
CCUACGGGGGGCAGCAGUGAGGAAUAUUGGUCAAUGGACGAGAGUCUGAACCAGCCAAGUAGCGUGAAGGAUGACUGCCCUAUGGGUUGUAAACUUCUUUUAUAUGGGAAUAAAAUGUUCCACGUGUGGGCUUUUGUAUGUCCCAUAUGAAUAAGGAUCGGCUAACUCCGUGCCAGCAGCCGCGGUAAUACGGAGGAUCCGAGCGUUAUCCGGAUUUAUUGGGUUUAAAGGGAGCGUAGGUGGAUUGUUAAGUCAGUUGUGAAAGUUUGCGGCUCAACCGUAAAAUUGCAGUUGAAACUGGCAGUCUUGAGUACAGGAGAGGUGGGCGGAAUGCGUGGUGUAGCGGUGAAAUGCUUAGAUAUCACGAAGAACUCCGAUUGCGAAGGCAGCUCACUGGACUGCAACUGACACUGAGGCUCGAAAGUGUGGGUAUCAAACAGGAUUAGAUACCCCAGUAGUC